UGUUCUAAAAUAAUUAUAAUUGGCUGGGAUGUAGCUCCAUAGCAAAGCACUUUCUUAGCAAGUGCAAGGUCCUGGGUUUGAUCCCCAGUACCA